CUCAGAUGGCUGCUAAAGCUGCUUCCCUAAGCUGUCCUGCCUAGUUUGCAUCACAACAUUCAGUGUCUCCACUGUCUGCAUGCAGACGCUGAACUUUCCUCAUAGAGAUUCAUUAAAUCAGUUCAUCUCUAUAAGGAGAUGCUGAUUGACCUGGGCUGUGUUUCACUUGUGCUGGCUCUGCCCCUGAUAUACCCCCUAGACAGUCUCAGACAAUCCUAUGGGGAAGCGUUGUGAUUGGUUCAGACCACCACUUCUGAUGAUGUCAGCAGACAUGGGCAGUUAACAGGUAAACAGGGGCAGAGCCAGCAGCUUCAGACUUGAAUACAAGUUUUACUAUAUUAAGUGUGGCAAGAUGGGACCGGGGGCUAGAUGGUGGUUUUAAUACCAUAGGAUCAGAAAUCUAUGUUUGUGUUGCUGACCUUAUAGUGCUCCUUUAAUUGUUGCUGUACAGUCGGAUGGGGUUCAAUUUGUAAUGCAGCUCAUUUCUGAUUUCAUGUGCUUCCAUGUCUUGCUCAGUUUAUAUAGCAAGUGUAUGUGAACUAUUUAAUGAUUUGACUGACAUGCUUAGUAUAUACCUCCUCUAUACUAAUUGGUUACAGUGCAUCCAUGGAAGUGGCCGUAAUGUUUCCCCACACAGUCCUGACCACAGCUCAUUAUUAUUUAUAUAACACCGACCACAUACAGUCUUUAAUAGCUCUUUACAAUUAUACAAAUUUAAUCAAACUGCAUUUGAGCCUCACAUCCAGUCUGUUACCAAAUCCUGUCGAUGCUACCUUAAAGGAAC